rnacentral:misc_RNA from 1 species
AUUGAACUCAAUUUGAGAAAGAACUAAGUAGUCUGUAUUUUGAUUUACAAUGUGUUUCAUUAUCAUAUAAUUGUUUGAUAGUUUGACGUGUAGUUCAUUCCAACUCAUCUUAAAUUGCAGUUUUGUUUCGUUUUGUUUUGUUUGGGUGAGAGGGGAUUUUUGAUGUUCAUCAACUGGUUUAAAACUAAUUAUGUACUAAUUGGAAAGUGGAGCCGGAUCAGUUCAAAUGAUAUUUUAAACCCUCUCUUGUUUUUCUAGUUUUAAGCUUUCUUAACUGAAGUGGUCAAGCAAGAGAUUGAAGGAGCUUCUCUUUUCACAGGGUUUCUGCAUUAGCAUAAAAUUUAAGUGAUAAAAUCGUAUGGCAGUUGAUCCAAAUAUUGUUACUCUUUUAUAAUGUAUCUGUAUGUCACUUGAAGGAUUGAUUACCACAUUUGAGUGGUCAACCUUAUAUUUUCGUGUCCAUUCUAACAAGAAAAACUCAGAUUAUUUGUGAAAAUCGCUUUUGCAUAGUUGUCUUUCAUUGAACUUUUAAUUUCUUGGAUUGUGGUUGAGGCCCCUUUCAAGUCAAUGUUGAAGGCCAUCAACCUCUAUGUUCUUAGACCAUAAUACUUUCAGUAUCAAUUACUCAUUUGGA